rnacentral:misc_RNA from 1 species
UCAUCUCAAUCUAACAGCUUUUUGCUGCUUGGAUUGGAUUUGGAAGUCUGCUGGCCUGCAAGGGUCGGCUCUUCUUGAAUAUAUGAGUGAGCGUCUGGCUUGCGUUGCUGGUGUGAUAGUCAUUCAUCAUUGGCGGCGCUUGCCUAAAGGGCUUGCUUUCGAACUGUCUUCUCAACGGAGACAAUCUAUUUGACCA